GCUAGGUGUCUCUGGCGACAAUCACGUGAUACACACCCGUCCGUUUAUAAAUACCCUAUUUACUGUUGCUAGCAAUGUUGUCCAGAUCUUCGCUGUUGACCCUUGUGACCUUUAUCGCCUUUGACCCCGUAUAUUGUUUUCCGCUGACCUCUUCCUUCCACCUUCAGAAAGACAUAGGCACAAUAUGGCAGGUGACCGACUUUCACCUGGACGUCAACUACAGCACCCAUGGUGACCACACCCAGAUGUGCCACAACUACGCUUCUUCUCCGCAUCAUGAUCACCACUUCCAGGACAACCUCAGUACGUAUGGCGACUACUCCUGCGAUUCACCCUGGGCCCUUGUUUCAUCUGCCGUCAGUGCCAUGAAGAGCAUUGAAGCAUCUCCGGACUUCAUUUUAUGGACUGGGGACAGCAUCCCACACAUUAAGGACUCUGAGGACAGUCCGGACAAGGUGUACGAGGUGAUCGGCAACAUCACCCACCUCCUCCGCUCCACCUUCCCCAACACCACCAUAUACCCGACCGUUGGCAACCACGACGCCUACCCAUCCAACCAGAUGCCCGACACUGCCCCUGGGUCUGACUUCUAUGCUCAGCUGCUGUCCCGUAGCCACUGGGCUGAACUUCUCCAGCCGGAUGAUCAGGCCCAGUUCGUCACAGCUGGGUACUACUCCACCCUGAUUUCCACGGGUUUCCGACUUAUAUCGCUGAACACGAACCUGUAUUACAGUAUGAAUAAUUCCACCCUUAAUACCACUGACCCAGGUGGUCAGUUUGAAUGGCUUCAGGCCCAGCUGGAGCUUGCAACUCAAAACAAAGAAAAGGUGCUACUGAUGGCGCAUGUCCCACCCGGCAUUUUCGAGAGACGUGCCUUCCUCCAGUGGAUGCGACCAGACUUUAACGAGCAAUUAGUGGACAUCCUGUCUAACUACUCUGACACUGUUGACAUGCAGAUCUAUGGACAUGAACACACAGACACCUUCAGGUUGUUGUAUAAAGAUGGCGUCGUUGCAUCAGUGAUGCUGAUGGCCCCUGCAGUCACUCCAAUGAACAGCUCUUUGCCCGGUGUCGGGCCGAACAACCCGGGUGUCAGGCUCUUCCACUACAACCGAACGACCCACCGCCUGCUCAACUACCACCAGUACUACUUGAACCUGUCGAGCAUCCGUCCCGGAGUGAACCGUGCCGUCUGGCAGCUCGAAUAUCGCGCGCUGGAAGACCUCCCCCUCGACAACUUCUCCGCUCCGGCCUUCUUCCAGCUCGUCUCCGGCUUCUCCUUCAACAAGACAUCCGCUUUCCGGCGCUACCUCCGCUACAACACCGUGUCGUACCAAAGGGAUCCGAUACCGGAUCAGUGCACACUCGCCGAGCAGGUUUGUGCCAUUGUGCACCCGACCAUGCAGGGUUACAUGCACUGCGCAGCAGUCUUAAGCCAGGGUAAACUCAACAUCGACAACGCAGCAGUUAAUUUCGACGGCAUCUCGUCCGUUCCGCCCAUGCCCUUCUCACCAAACUACAGCUACCCCUCAGCCGCUCACCCUAGAGGGUCCGUUCAUAUAUAUGUGUACUACAUUGUUGCUGUAUGUAGCAUGUGUCUGUGUCUUGCCUUUGUCAUCCUUGCUGUGCUCCGGAAGCGAUAUACAUCCACCCCGUACCUUUUGUUUCGGUAUCACCCCCUAACCAAUAGAAACUAGAUCGACUACACCCCAAAUUUGCUGUCGUCUGCUGAAGGGAGCCUUUACACUGCCACAAGAACUGGUAGAAAUAUCAGCCAAAUCUCCCUCAAAUAUACCGUAAUGUCUUAUAUAUGUAUUAUGAGCCAAUGAGUGAGACCUCUACAUGGUAGCUAAACCUGGUAGAGAUUGCAGCCAAAAUCUCCCUCACACUCUGUCUUACAUGUGAGCAAGGGAGAGCUCUAUAUGCAAACAAAUCUGCUAUAAAUAGCAGGUAGCUCUUCCUCAAUUCAUACCUUAUCUUAUGUAUGUAUAUAUGUAUGAGACAACAAGGGUAACACGUACAUGAUAGCUUGAUAUGCUAGAAAAAACAGCCAAAUCUCUUUCAAAUCACACCUUACUGUUUUCUAUGUAUGUAUGUAUGAGCUGACAAGGAAAACCUUUACGUGGCAACCAGAUCUUAUCGAAAUAGCAACCAAAUCUUCCUCAGAUCACACCUUCCUCAUGUCUUAGACAUGUAUUUAUGUAUGUAUGAGCCGAUAAGGGAGACCUCUACGUGGCUACCAGACCUCAUAGAAAUAGCAGUCAACACUUCGUCAAAGCACACCCUCUUAUGUAUAUGUAUGUACCAUCAAGGAAUCUCCCUACCAGUGAUAUACAGAAUGAUGGUGCCAAAACAGACACUAAUGUUGUGAUUAGCCAGUGAGCUUGUUAAAGAAUAUAUAUUAGUGAUAAAGACAGUAUUAAUAUGGACUGUAUUAAUAAAUGUGAAUGUUCUGUUAGAACAGGCUAUACUGUGGUAGAUUACAAGAGAGACACUCUCAUACUGGCUUUUGGUGCAAAAUGCCCUCUUGUUUAUAUUUAUGUGUGUAACCUCGUCUUGGCUUCAUAGCAUAUAGUACGACUGUCGCUGUCGUACAAACAAUGUUGUGUAUUUCUAGUCUUUCAUG